AACCCUUGUGUCCUUAUUUUCCUGAGAUAGUAUUGAGAGACUUACUGCUUGAAUGGACCAGCGGGUGUCUUCCUGUAAUGCCCUUCAAAUUAGAGAUCAGAAUUAUCUCGGAUAGUUGCUGAAAAUUUCUGGAGUCCAGCUGGAGUUUUGGUGCUCCCGAACAGCUCCGCAUCGGGGUUGGGAACUUGAAACUGGAUCGUACUGAGCUGGUUGCUGAUUUGUAGUAUUUUUGAGUUGGUUUCCCCAGGCAGACACUGGAGGUUAGGGAUGUCCAUACUUACAGGGCCCAGCUGGGACUUGAACCUCGGCCUCGCCGGCAGACCUCGGGUCCUGUGCUCUUGGUAGCAAACCGGGCUUCACAAGCAGACCCCUGUCCUGGGCCUUUACUCCCUGUGUCGGGCCCUAGAGGGAAAGAGAGGCUUGAGGGUUUCAGAAGACGGAAGGUGGAUCCACUUGGGGAAUCGGCCCUGGAGGGCUCUCUGGGUUCGCGUGUCUGGGGCCUGUCCGCCCAGGAGCCUCUGCUCUUUGCGGCUGGUUCUCCUGUGCGCGCCAAGGGACUUGUGCACCUGCCCGGCCGUUCAGGUGCACAUUAAUUAUCAAUCCCCACCGAAAGCCAGAAGGAUCUGGUUUAGGGCUGGCACAGCUUGGUUACUGAUUAACAGACCUGAGGCAGUCUUGGUUUCUUUUCAUCUGCCUUCACUUCCUUGUUGCUAAUCCACAAGAACCAGACAUUCAAAUUCAGCUUCCUACUUCCCUCUUGAAUUUCGCGGGAGGAGCCUUUGGACCGAGGAACGGGUCUCCGGGUCUCCGCGGGGUGUUAAUGUCACCUCUGCACCACUGCCCUUGGUGGGAACUUUGAAGAUCUAUAUACUGGUUUGGUUUUGUUUUGUUUUCAGGAAUCAGAAUCUUGGACCAGAAAUUCAAAUACAUACAGUGUCCCCUGUCUGCGGUGUCGCUCUCUGCUGCUCCAGUCACUGGAAGCAGAAGAUCCUGCUGACACAUGGCCAGCAGGUCGGUCGCAGCCUAAGACUCCGUCACACUGCCUGUGUCACUCCCCUCUCCACCUCCUCGCAGGAAGGUGAGUGCAGUACCAGAUAGUCUGAGAGAGAGACACAUGUACCACACACGUGACUCUCAUUACUGUAUAUUGUCCUAGUUAUACUUUAUUAGUUAUUGUUGUUAGUUUCUUUUCUUUUUAAAGAGAUUUUAUGUAUUUAUUCAUGAGAGACGCAAAGAGAGUCAGGGACACAGGCAGAGGGAGAAGCAGGCUCCCUGUAGGGAGACCAACGCGGGACUCGAUCCCAGGACCCCGGGGUCAUACCCUGAAUUACAGGCAGACGCUUGGCUGCUGAGCCUCCCAGGGGCCCCUGUUGUUAGUUUCUUACAUGUCUAAUCUAUACCCUAAGCUUUAUCAUAGGUAUGUAUAGGAAAAAAACCAGCAGAUAGAGAGCUCACAGUAUACCCACCGAUUCAGGCAUCCACUGGGGUACUUGGAACAUAUUUUGUGUGCAAAAGGGGGGACUACUAUAUACGCAAAUAUACAUGGAUGCUUUUUUUCCUUUUUAUUUUUUAAAUUUUAUUUAUUUAUUCAUGAGAGACACACAGAGAGAGGCAGAGACACAGGCAGAGGGAGAAGCAGG
rnacentral:lncRNA from 1 species